UGCCUUUGCUGGUGAGUGGCGAUUAGGC
rnacentral:piRNA from 1 species